AAAAAAAAUUAGAAAUUCAAGAUUUUGAACAAAUAAUUAAAAGUUAAAAGGGCAGGAAGAAAGAGAAUGAUAGAGGACUUGUCCUCGCUCGAUGAUGUUCUCCCUAUUUUCACCCUAAAUUCAAUUGCCUUUUCUUCUAUUUCUAAUGAAAAAAGGGUUUUUUCACUACUAAAACUCUUUGAACAAUGAAACAUCUUAUAGUCAGUAUGCUCUUCAUUGAUCCAAAAAAUAAAAUUUUGGGGGAAAAGGAAAGAAAUUAAAAAAAAUAAAAAUGGAGGAUACAAAGCAUCAAAGAUAGUAUAACAUAUUCUAAAUUAAAAAUAUCUAAAAAACCCAUAUUGAUUUCUAAAAAAUAUCUAAUAAAAUAAAUAGAAAAGAAAGCUUAUGAAUCAAAAUUAGUUUUCAAAUGAAAUAUAAUAACCACGGGAGUAAAGAUGAAAAAUUAUGAAUAACAAAAUUUGAAGAAUCAGCAAGCCAUAGAAGAAAGGGAAG
rnacentral:lncRNA from 1 species